rnacentral:rRNA from 1 species
AGCGAGCGCUGGCGGCAGGCCUAACACAUGCAAGUCGAACGAACUCUUCGGAGUUAGUGGCGGACGGGUGAGUAACACGUGGGAACGUGCCUUUAGGUUCGGAAUAACUCAGGGAAACUUGUGCUAAUACCGAAUGUGCCCUUCGGGGGAAAGAUUUAUCGCCUUUAGAGCGGCCCGCGUCUGAUUAGCUAGUUGGUGAGGUAAAGGCUCACCAAGGCGACGAUCAGUAGCUGGUCUGAGAGGAUGAUCAGCCACAUUGGGACUGAGACACGGCCCAAACUCCUACGGGAGGCAGCAGUGGGGAAUCUUGCGCAAUGGGCGAAAGCCUGACGCAGCCGUGCCGCGUGAAUGAUGAAGGUCUUAGGAUCGUAAAAUUCUUUCACCGGGGACGAUAAUGACGGUACCCGGAGAAGAAGCCCCGGCUAACUUCGUGCCAGCCGCCGCUGUAA